rnacentral:rRNA from 1 species
UACGUAGGGGGCUAGCGUUGCUCGGAAUUACUGGGCGUAAAGCGCACGUAGGCGGUCUUUUAAGUCGGGGGUGAAAUCCUGGGGCUCAACUCCAGAACUGCCUUCGAUACUGGAAGACUUGAGUCCGGGAGAGGUGAGUGGAACUGCGAGUGUAGAGGUGAAAUUCGUAGAUAUUCGCAAGAACACCAGUGGCGAAGGCGGCUCACUGGCCCGGUACUGACGCUGAGGUGCGAAAGCGUGGGGAGCAAACAGG